UACGGCGGAUGCGAGCGUUAUCCGGAUUUAUUGGGUUUAAAGGGUGCGCAGGCGGUCUGUUAAGUCAGCGGUCAAAGCCCGGGGCUCAACCCCGUCCGGCCGUUGAAACUGGGGGCCUUGAGUGGGCGAGAAGAAGGCGGAAUGCGUGGUGUAGCGGUGAAAUGCAUAGAUAUCACGCAGAACCCCGAUUGCGAAGGCAUCUCACGAAUCCGCGAUUGACGCUGAAGCACGAAAGCGUGGGUAUCGAACAGG
rnacentral:rRNA from 1 species